GAUGAACGCUAGCGGCAGGCUUAAUACAUGCAAGUCGAGGGGCAGCAUAGGUGUAGCAAUACAUUUGAUGGCGACCGGCAAACGGGUGCGGAACACGUACACAACCUUCCGAUAAGUGGGGAAUAGCCCAGAGAAAUUUGGAUUAAUACCCCGUAACAUAUAGAGGUGGCAUCAUCUUUAUAUUAUAGCUACGGCGCUUAUUGAUGGGUGUGCGGCUGAUUAGAUAGUUGGCGGGGUAACGGCCCACCAAGUCUACGAUCAGUAGCUGAUGUGAGAGCAUGAUCAGCCACACGGGAACUGAGACACGGGCCCGACUCCUACGGGAGGCAGCAGUAAGGAAUAUUGGUCAAUGGACGCAAGUCUGAACCAGCCAUGCCGCGUGAAGGAUUAAGGUCCUCUGGAUUGUAAACUUCUUUUAUCUGGGACGAAGAAAGGCGAUUCUUCGUCACUUGACGGUACCAGAUGAAUAAGCACCGGCUAACUCCGUGCCAGCCGCCGCAGUAAAAC
rnacentral:rRNA from 1 species